rnacentral:tRNA from 1 species
GGCUUUGUAGUCAAUAUAUGAUAUUAGAUUGCAAUUCUAAAGUAGUAGUUUAUACUAAAGCUU